GAGGAUAUAGUUCAGUGGUAGAGCAUUCGACUGUUAAUCGAAAGGUCCCCAGUUAAAACCUGGGUGUCCUCU